rnacentral:misc_RNA from 1 species
AGCGAACCAUGCUUUCAUAUCAGGUAAUAUCUGCUUUGAAUGACAGAAUUGGUGACAAGUCCUUUUACUGUUUCAUUUUUGGAGAUCUAUAGGUUUUUUAUUUUCCCAAAAAGAACUUGGUUAAUCUUUAAAGUUAUAAGUUUUUCUCUUUCUUUCUUUUGAUGCAAAUAUGAAAAAUAUGACUUGUGCUUUCUAAAACUGUGGUUUCUGCUUGCUAGUUCUAUCCAUUCAUGUCCAAUAAUUAUAUUUUUACUUCAUUCAACAUAAGACUUAUGCUGCUUGAAGGUUGACUAUGUAGUGAACUUAUUUUUCUUUGUUGAAUUGUGGAAAAUAUUUAUGGAAUUAACUGGAACCAAAAGGCAGGUUUAAGAUCGUGCACGUUUUUUGGCUUUAUUUUAAGAGUAGAUUAUUCAUUUUAUUCACUUUUUACUCUCUUCAGUUUACUACAUUUAUGAACUUGUGUUGCAUGCUACCGAUUGUCAUUUUUAAGCAGGACACACAUGAAAUUAUUAUUGGGUAUGUAUUGGCAUCUGAGUCUUUCCUUGAGAAAUAAAUAAGAAAUUGGAGGUGUACAGUAUUUAAGGGUAAGGACAUGCAGAUUCAAAUUGGAAAUGUAAAUGUCAUUUGAGCUAUCAAACAUAAAGUUUGGAAUUGAUCCUUCAUGUAUAAUCUUUAUGUAUUUAAUUAGUCACAUUAGAAGGUUACUCCUUAGUACAUUUAUCCCUUAAUUUGCUUUAGAAUUGUUUUUGGUACAUUAAGUGACUCUAAUAUGAGCCUCUUUUAGGGUACAUCUUCAUCUGUUAAUU